rnacentral:lncRNA from 1 species
CACAGGCAGGGGGUGAGGGCGGCUCUGCCCACCCUGGCCCCGAGGGGACGAAGCCAGCGCCCCCAGCCCCGCGGCGCCUGCUCAGGCCGCCCGGCCGGGGGUGUGGCUCAUUGUGUCUGCCGGGGGAAGGGGCGGGCGAUGCUCCGGCUCGGGCCGCAGGGAGAGGGCGCAGCGGCGGCGGGAGCAUGAGGCCGGCGUGAGCGGGAUCCCAGCCCCGGGGAUCAAUGGUGCAGGACGGCAGCAUGUCCAGGACGCCGUGCAGCUCCAGCCAGGACAUCCAGAUGGACGUGUUCGAGCACCCGGGCCUGCAGGGCUCCACCUUGAUGAAGAAGCUGCUGGAUUUGCCCCUCCUCUGCCAGGCCGAAUUGGGGUGCCCCCAAGGGUGCAGAUGUGGGUGGAAGGAGAGGAGUCUCAAGGCACCCUGGGAGAUGUGGUGCCCACCUAACCCCCCUUUGCAACAGGGGAAAUACGGCAAGCGGAAGAGUCGUUUCAAACGCUCGGAUGGCAGCACCUCCUCAGACACAACUUCCAACAGCUUCGUGAGACAGGUACAAGCAGUGGGCAGGGGUUUGACUAGCUUUGGUGUGCCUUUUCUGAGUAGCACUGGCAUGGAGCCCCAGGGGUACUUGUGUGAAAGGUUCUCUCCAGGGGACUUGACAUGUUUUUCAUCCUUGAUCUGGCAGCAGGUGGUGAUGGCAGGUUGCUGGAAUACAGCAGCAGCAGGCAAGGGGGACAGCUCACCCCUGGCUGGCCAUCCCCAGUGACUAUAAUAACCUCCUAUCUAGUCCCAGCUCAAGAAAUUACUGCUUAGCAGGGCUUUGGUUCCUGCUCAGACCCAUCCCACUGUGUCUCCAAACUCUCAUGUUUUGCAAAGAGCAGAGCCUGGACCCCUUUGUGUUAAAGCAACAAGAAAAGACCAAAGUGAAGUGUCCAUGGGAGAGUGUGUGGGGUGCGUGACACCCUUUGUAACCCUGAGACCAAACCCAGUGCCCAUCUCUGCCUGUGCAGUACAAAUUUUAAAGCUGCAGGACACUGAAUCCAAAAUGUCCCUUCUGAGACUCUGCAGUUUGGGUUUAAAUGACUGGGGUACUUCAAGCGCAAAAAUGACUUCUUAGCAACCAGUCCAUAUAUAGUCCCCUCUGGGUGUGAGUGGUGUGAGCACAGAACUGGAGUCCUGUGAGCCCUGCCUCGUGGGAAUCGGUGUAGCUGGGUGACGAUGUUGUUCCCUGGCCAUCAUUGGGGGCACAACACUGGCAAGACCUCAUCUGCUUUGGUUCUGUGGCCCCAGGGAAAGCCUCAAGCCAGCUCCUUCCAGGCUGCAUCUGGGAGCAGGGAAAGGUUGCAAGAGCUUCAGGAGGGCAGGGAUCAAAGCUUGAAGGCCUCUUUUUAUUCUGGAUCCACUCUGAGCUUUGUUGUUGCCCGUGGCAACACUGCUUAGUUGUAACCACGUCACUGCUGUGGAUGUGGGUUGCUCCAUGCAGUGGUGCAUGCUGCUAGGGUGAGCUGGACUUGGUGGGGGCGGUGCUGGGGUUGGUGGUGCUGGCAGGGGCAUUGCUGGAGCCUCUCUCAGCAGCCCAGCACAGCUCUGCCAUGGCUUCUUGGGGCUACUUCUCCUAUUGGGUUGUUUGAGCUCUGUCAGCAAUCCUGCCCCAUCCCUAAAAGCUGAGGUCUCCUUGCCCAGCCCGUGCCCCUUGCUGGGAGAGGCCAGAGUGGAGCAGCACUGGUCUUUCUGCUCCCCCCUACCAACUUCUUCAGAGCUGUUGC